UCAGUCGACUCCUACGGGGAGGCAGCAGUGGGGAAUUUUGGACAAUGGGGGGCAACCCUGAUCCAGCAAUGCCGCGUGAGUGAAGAAGGACCUCGGGUUGUAAAGCUCUUUGUCAGGGAAGAAACGGUGAUCUCUAAUAUAGAUUGCUAAUGACGGUACCUGAAGAAUAAGCACCGGCUAACUACGUGCCAGCAGCCGCGGUAAUACGUAGGGUGCAAGCGUUAAUCGGAAUUACUGGGCGUAAAGCGUGCGCAGGCGGUUUUGUAAGUCUGAUGUGAAAUACCCCGGGGCUCAACCUGGGAACUGCAUUGGAGACUGCAAGGCUAGAGUGUGUCAGAGGGGGGUAGGAAUUCCACGUGUAGCAGUGAAAUGCGUAGAGAUGUGGAGGAAUACCGAUGGCGAAGGCAGCCCCCUCGGGAUAACACUGACGCUCAUGCACGAAAGCGUGGGGAGCAAACAGGAUUAGAUACCCUGGUAG
rnacentral:rRNA from 1 species